ensembl:lncRNA
CAUCCCUGGAAGUGUGAUACAAAAACCCAUUUUUUAUUGCUGAAAGGAACACAGAUUUGUAAAGUUUUCUUGCUGCAUACCUGGUGCCACAGAUACCAACAGUUUUGAGUUUCUUCCUGGAGCUGUGUGACUGCAUUUGUUUAUCACAUUCAUUUUGUUAAAAACUACUUUGGCCUAUGGUCUGAGCACAAACUGCUGCUUCUACAAUCAAAGGCAAAAAGCCCUCAACGUAUUGUUAUAAUUUAUAAGUCUUCUUUUAGGUUGAGAAGACUCAUGCUGGCUGAACACUCAAAUGCUGCAUGGAUUGCACACAGAACAACCAUCACUUUGGCCAAUUUUAGUCACUUAAUGAGAAUUUGUUGACAAGUAUAUUGAUUAUUUUUCUAUGAAUUAAUAUAUUUAAGAUUUGUCUCUUAAAAGCUCCUAAAAGAAUCCUCAUGGAGGAUCUCUGAUACUUCCAGGCUGGCAGGGGUAGAGGGUUGGAGGCUUUCUUGCAUUUCACAUGCACAGAACUCAAGAGUCUGAGAGCUUCUCUUCCAGGGAGCAGAGCAGGGCAAGAGAGCAUGGAAGAAAGGAACACAUAGAUGACAUUAAAUAUGAAUGUAUGCAGACAAAUAUACAGAUUCCCUACCAGCUUCAUUCAAAAAAAAAUCUGUUAGACCCCUGGGUUUCAUUAGCAACGCUGUGCAGCACUCUCCACAAUAAGGAUAUAAAAUAACUUUUCAGUAACUAUCUUGGCAAUUAAAAUUCUAAGUCCAGUCAAGCUUGCAAAUACUGUGACAAAUUCAUCCCUUCGGGGCUCUAUGCUUUCUCAACAGAGCACAGCAGAGGCAGCACAAAGCUGGAGCAUCUCCUGAGACAUUUGACUUUUGUUCACCCAUAUCUGACCUUCUGCUGACUUGAGCCCUGGCAGGAGCUCCAACAUAUGAGCCUACAGAGUACAAUGUUGAUGCUCUACAAGAGACGGAGACCUCUCCCACACUGCUUCCCCCUUCCCUGGGCUGCUGCCAUGGCUGUUGUAAUGCAUCUUCCAGGGGCGAAGCAUCUUGUUUUUAAAGGGGGUACUUGUACUUCUUAUAGGUAGACCAGAAGUAAGGUUUCUGUUUUCACUUAGACAAAUAAAAUGGCAUAAUGCAG